UGCAGAUAGUACAGUUCACAGGAGCAGGGACGUCUGGGCACGGACGCCGGAGCUCCGCGCGACUUUCAGGAAGCCCUGCCCUCCCCCCCCCGCCGCGUGCACAGGGGGACGCUGCACCUGCGCCGGGACGCGCUGGCCGGAGCCCCUGCUGCGGCCCCGGGGACGGGCACCGGCCCGACGACCGCCCGGACACGGGAUCCUGGCAAAAUUACCAACAAACCCAUAAAGGACACUGAAGGCCAUUCAAUCUCCAUCUUCACCGCCAGUCCCACAAACGCUGAAGAAAUAAGCUAUGUCUCCAAAGACCGACACUCCAAAGAGCACAGUUGCACCCUAAAUCCAGGGCAGGCUUCAGGUCUUCGGGGAAUGAUUGAUUAGCUUCUGUGACUCUGACUUUAGAUUCCAGGACGUCCAGACACAUGGCGCCCCACCGUGGAAGACAGCUGUUCACACACUGUUUUAUAUCAAGUCAGGUAAAUGAGGGGCUGCGGGGGUGUAGACUGCGUCCGGUGGGGCAACGGGAUGUAGCCACGUGCCUGAGAGUCAAGGAAGACACACGCGCACACGGAACACCGACUGUAUUCAAGGAAGUACGUUGGAUCCUCGGGGUCUGUAGAUGAUGAAGGGUCAGUCCCUGACCUCAAGGGUCUCACUGUCUGGUAGGAGAACAAGAGAGAAGCCCAUGCAAGUGGCUGGUGUAUCUAUUUUUCACUUUUAAAGGGACUGUCACAUAGAAAAAGAUUUGGUAUCGAAACCAGAGUUCUCCAUCCUCUUGGGUGCUCGUCCUUAACCUCCCACACUUACUCUCCUCGGUUUAAAGUUCAAUGGGAGAUACCAGAUGGCCUGUGAGUCUCAGAGUAUCUGCACAGAACAUCGUUUGCAUUGUCUUCUUGUACAAUUUUGUUUAAGAAAAUCCUCAGCUAGUAAAUUUGGUCACAAAAAGUGUUAAAAAUAGAUACAAAUGCAUUGUACAUCUAGAAUGAGUGGGGAGGAACCGCAGACUCUGUCACCGCCCAGCAGCUUGUCCCAGACGAGUCUGUGUUUUGAGAGUCAGUUGAGUGUAGCACUCAAUGUUUUUAGAGAAUAGACAUCUGUCUCCAUCCUAUGGCUGCAUGAUGUGUUUAUUUGUACAAUGAUCACCAUCUUUUUCUUAAAGCAUUUAGGGUACUUAUGGGCAGAUCUAUACUCUUGUGCCUGAAAUUCUUUGACCUCUAAGCUUUUUGCUUGUCCUCUUUUUUUUUUCCCCCAAAAUUCUUGCAUUCAUUAGAUCCUUUUCAAGAAACCUAACGGUAUUUGCAUUUGUGUAAUUCUCUCAUUGCUGAAAAGCAUUCGUUUCAUGGCUGGAAUGUUGCAUCUGUUCAACGGCCUCCAGGCAACACUAAAAACUAGUUUUAAGACAGGAAACUGGGAAGAGUCGUGUGUUUAACUGGAGUUUCAGAGGGGAUAUAACGAAAAGCACCUACAUUGACUUUGAUCCAAGAUUAUCUGGUUAAUGCCCUCGCUGAUUAAAAAUUGUGAGCUCUGAAGCCACUCCGUUAUUAAUGGUAGAUAACAGAUUGCUAAGAACAUUUCUACCACUGUGUCAUUGUGUCUAACAGACAUUUACGAUUACUGCAGGAGAGAGGUAGCUUGUUAAUUAAGUCCAAAAGGAAUAAUUCUGAAAAAUAGGGCACAGUUAUCACACGCUUUUGCCAGAAACUAAGUGUUUUCUCACUGGCUCUGAGGUGGUGAGCAGUGCCCUUACAGAGUUCUAAAGAGUAAUUUCAUAAAGAUCGCCUACAUCAGAUCAUAAUUUUCCACUAUUACCUAAUAACAUCAAAGAUAGUUUAACUCCAUCUCUGAUAGACAUACAUUUAUCAGGUGGUCCUUUUUGAAAAUUUAAGCCAUUCGAUUUUCUGUAAAUAAGUCAUUAUGAAAGGAAAGCAACUCAACAGUGAAGAUUUGGAGAUUUGGGUGGAAGAAAACCUUUCUCCCUGCGAAGUCACUUUCUUCUUUCUCUCUCUCGCUGGAAAAGUCUUUUAAUAUAUAGUAAUUUCUGUCUAACUUUUUUCAGAGGAGAAAGUUAUAAAUAUAAUGAGUUGUUUAAAAUUGUUUAAAUAUCUGGAUUAUUGCUACACAUUUAAUAAGGGACAUUCUUACAUUGGUACAGAGAUAAAGUAAUCUCUGAAUGAAGUCUUUUGUCUUUUCUCUCCUCAAUUAUGAUUUCGAGGACUCGAGUUGCCACGUGGUCCCAUUGUUCAAGGAGCAAGCUGAUCUAUUAAUAUUUCUUAAAAGAAAAAAAUUACUGUGAACUGUUAACUAAAUGCUGGGGUUUUGCCUGUUUGUUCUUUUAAAAUGUAGACUGGAGGAAGUAUUAAUGAAAGCCUAUAGAAUUAUUAUCUUUGACUAAUGAAAAUAAAAAAUAGAAUAAAAAUAUACCAACCAUAGAAUCACUUGUCUAGAAGAGGUCAUUAGUCAGGGUUCAAAAUCAAUGCAUCAGUCCUUUAGACAAUUAAUCCAAACAUAUCAUAUGGCAUCUAUUUGAUGAAUAACUUGUGCUAAGGUUUUUCAUUUUCAUAAGAUUUAUUGAGCACUGUGAUACUUAACUUUAAUGGACUGGACUUCUGGCUGGAAUCCUUUCUCAGCCCACAGGUCACCUGCAGAGAGGAACUCCUGGCUGCGCGUUUCAGGAAGGAACCGGGAAAGGUUCUUGCAUGCCCAAGUCUGCUUUGGAUUAUUCAUUCUUAAGGGAAGAAGUCUAAAUUUCAAAGCAAAGCAAUCCUGACAUAUUUUUCCAGUAGCCAGACUUUGAAACAUUAAAGCAUAUGAAGAUGUGAUGAAUGUUCAAAUAUACAGUAAUACUGAAACCCUCGUCCGAUUCUGUGCAGAGCCAACGACAUACUUAUUUGAUUUGAAAUAAUGUAUGACAUUAGCUCAAGGACAAGAAACUUAUCCGCAAGGGGACCAGGAGACGGCAUCCUGACCGGACCGUGGUUGCCGCGCUCUGUGUUAACAUCGGCGGCCAGACAGAGAUGCACUGGGUUCGUCAAGGGUUCCGAACUUCGGGAGAGCUUGAGAUUGAGUCUGACUUGUAAGUCAGCAUCAGCCCUCUCGGGGAGGAGCCGCCUGUCCUGGAGGAGCUCGCCCUGCCUGUCAGCACCGCCCCAGGCGAGGAAGCGCCACGCGGAGGGCCAUCUUACUGGGGAUGUCCUCGUGCUGCUUUUUGAAAGGUGAUGUAUCUUGAGGCUAUUGAGAAAAGAAAUCUGACUUUUCUUUCUCUCUCUCUCUCUUUUAAUCUUAGAAUUGGGAACACAGCAGUUUGUGAAGGGAAGAAGCAUUAAAAUCUUAGGAGACCCAGAUUUAAAUACCUGCCCCUUAAAUAAUAAGGCGCCUCAUGCUCUCUUUCGCAGAAUAUCUCUUAGAAAGGACUGUUUGGAAAUAAAUUAAACUAGUGUAUCUGAGGGUGAUUUUAUUAUCCAGACAUAAUCUAGGAAAUGAAAGCUCAGACAAGUUAUGUAACCAGGCGGGUGAGGGGCAGACCCCAGUCCGAUGACUCAGUUCCUCCCUGUUCAGUUACUCUGCUGUGUCUCCUAGGAAGGUAGCUUUGUGGUUGCUGCAGUUCCCAUGCAGAUAAAACCUUUCUACAAUACACAUAGUUUGUAUAUAUAUAUACUCUCUACUAAAAGAAAGUUUUAAUUCAACUUGAAAUAAUAAAUGGUUAAUAUAAGGAAAGUGAGAUAAGCAAAAAAUAUCAAUAAUUUUAGGCUUGUAUUAAAAGUGACCUUCAUUUUGGAGUAAUGAUGGUUCCUUGUUUCUUUCUUUCCUUCUUUCUUUUUUUAUUGAGGUGUAGUUGGCUUAUGGUGUUGUGUUAGUCUCUGGUGGACAGCAUAGUGAUUCAGUUAUAUACGUAUGUAUAUUAUUUUUCAGAUUCUUUUUCAUUAUAGAUUAUUACAAGAUAUUGAAUUUAGUUCCCUGUGCUCUACAGUGAGUCCUUGUUGUUUAUCUGUUUUGUAUAUAGUAGUGUGUAUCUGCUAAUCCCAAACUCCUAAUCUAUCCCUCCCCUUUUCCCCCUUGGUAACCAUAAGUUUGUUUUCUAUGUCUGUGAGUCUCUUUCUGUUUUGUAAAUAAGUUCAUUUGUAACCUUCUCUAUUAGGUUAAACUUUGUAAAUAUUUGAGACAGUACAUAAUUUUUAAACCAACAACACAUAAACAUGUCUGUAAAUACUUUCAGAAACAAAGAUAGCUAGUCUGUCAAUUACCAAAUCUUUCCAGAAAAUACAACUUUCUUUUAAAAUGAUAAGGGCUUCAUAACGGUUAGCUGGACUGAUUUGCCUGUGAAAAACAUUUUUAAAUGACUUACGGUGUAUUUUGGAACAUAUAUAUAAUAUGGGAUUCGUAUGUAUAAAUCCAGUUAAUAUGUGUAUUAAAAACCAAUCAUUUUUUCCUCAUUACUAGUAACUUUGCCAAAUAGUACAAAGGUUGGGCUGGAAAUGGAUCGCAUCUCCAAAAACAAUUCAUAAAGACACUUUACAAAGCGAGCAGCGUAGAAUGAUUUCCACAGCUCAGUGGGGGAGGAAAACCAGAACCACUUUGGGCCCUUUGCCGUCGGCAGGAGUGAAGGCUGUCAGUAAUGACGAAGCUGUUGGACAACAAAAUCAUAGGCCCCUCUGGGAUGUCAGUGUUCCAGUUGUAAAAUCUGGCUAAUCUGAGCCAGGCUUUGGCACGACCGGCCCCGCGUUCCUGGCCUUCUCAGAGGAGAGCGGUGUCCAAGUAUCCCGCUUGGCUCUGGCUGCACCGAGCCAGUUUCUGACUCUGAUGCUCGCACUCUUCCUAUCGAAGUGGCCAGAAGUCCCGAUCACAGUUGUAAUCACCCAGAGCAAGCAUCUCUGGAACAGGCAUUUUACCUGUGUAACUGGUAAGGUGGAAGCGCCCGUGCUGAAACACUUCACGAGAUUUCAUAUCCGAAAGAGAGGAAGAAAUCCUCUAAGAAAAUGGUAAUGGGCCUGAGAAAGGGGUCGAGGCCCCCCAGUACCAGCGAAGCUGGCACCUCAUGUGUCACGAGCUUCUUUCAAGGCAAGAGAAGGGCGGAUGGCAAUGGCUCCCCCCUCCUUUUUUUCCUUUAAUUGUAGUACAGUCAGUUUGCAAUGUUGGGUCAGUUUCUGGUGUCCAGCACAAUGUUUCCGUCACACAUACACAUACAUACAUUCCUUUUUAUAUUCUUUUUCAUUCUAAGUUACUGCAAGACAUUGAACAUAAUUCCCUGUGCUACACAACAGGACCUUGCUGUUUAUCUAUUUUAUAUUUAAUAGUUAGUGUCUACAAAUCUCAAACUCCCAGUUUAUCCCUUCCCACACCAUCCCCCCCACACCAUCCCCCCAAUAACCAAAAGUUUGUUUUCUGUGUCUGUGAGCCUGUUUCUGUUUUGUAAAUACGUUCAUUUGUGUCUUUCUUUUUUUUAGAUUCCACAUAUAAGCGAUACCACGUGGUACCUGUCCUUCUCUCACUGGCUUACGUCACUCAGAAUGACAGUCUCCAGGUCCCCCAUGUUGCGCAAAUGGCAGUUUUUCUAAGGCACCAUUUCUCACUUUUUCUAUUCUGAAUAGACUCCCUUCCAUGAAUAGAAAGUAAACGUGAUGAAACGAUAAGCACCCAUGAGUGUCAGCUGCCCCUGGGACGGUCAGAUGAGCUGGAAUUCAGGCUGAAGGCCGUGUGGUGGGAAAGCCUCCUGCCCUGCGGGUUGUCAGGAUCGGAGCCCGCGAGCUCCACGGAGGUCAGGGCGUCAGGCCGAGGCGGGGGCUGCAGACUGACGUGGAGACGCUCUAUUUCACACGCUUGCCCUCUGGAAGGACUGGCAGAGGCAGUCACUUAAAUUAAACACAGGUCAUCAGACAAGAUACACAGUCUAUUCCUGAAACAGACAACUUGAGCACGCCAGGUCCCCAUGGCCUUUUACCGAGCCUCAUCACGCUCCCCUUUACGUCCCUCUGUCAGUUCACGUUAGGGCUGGCUGUGUUUAAAAGUGGCAUUGCAUGUAUUCUGCGACCCUCUGGCUCGGAGCAAAGAAAUUGCUUUGGUUUAGUUAUGACCUAGUAACCUUAACAAAACUGAAGAACUUAAUGUUCUCACAAGCCUAGGGAAGAGAGAGAAAAGCUAAAAUAAAUCUGGCCUUGAUACAAGCUGUUCCGAUUCUGCCCACACCCCUCUCCAAAUCCCAGGGAAGUGAAUGGGAAGAUCUCUGACCCUUAACUAUCUUAUUUCUUGUGACUCUUUUCAUUCAAGGAAAACUAGGCAUGGAUUGAGAUGGCUGCCACCUACUUUGAAUUCUGGAAUUAUAACAGUGUGUUCUAAAAAAAAAACACUACACACCACGGAAAAUGUAAAGGCUCAGUGCAAUCGAGUCUCGAUGUUUCCAGCAGGACUAUUUUACAGUCAAGGCUGUCAUGAAAAUAAAGAUGUGGAGGGCGUAGACUAGAAGGGGCAAAGUAGUGAUUGAAAGCCACGCUCGAAUUAGUGGAAAACUAUCGAACCAGCAGGUGGGGUAAAUUGUGAACCGAAAGUUACCGCAAACACAGGGCCCUGACGUCCGUUCUCUUUUCUGACACUAGGGUAGCUGCGAGCGAGAGCAAGAGCCCGACCUCCAGCCGUGGGCCGUCCACACCGCGCAGGGGUGAGGUAGGCUCUGCAGCAGACUCUAACUUUGUGAACCACGUAUGCAGCUUAGUCCAAGGAAAGGAAAACAGUGAACGACGGAAUUUGCUGAACUUACUCCUGCUGUUCCCUGUGCACAUGACAAGGCAUUUAGUGGAAUUUCUUACUGUUGCGGGUGAAUCAUUUUUGCAUAAGAAUUUUAAGUUUUGGUUAUAUUCUGCUAAGGACUUCUAGAAAAAUAUUUUGGAAAACAAAGAAAAGCAAGGUUCUGCGUUGCAAAUAGUCCCAGCUGCCCUAGGAUUUUGCUGUCAGUAGACUGACGCAUAUUUCGUGUUAAUGCAAAAUGCUCAGUUUAGCGGCUCCUUUCAUAGGGUCCCUGUUCUACAGAUGUCAGCAGCUAUGCCAAGAGGUGAGUGCGCAUGACUGAAAACGGUUGUAUAUUGACUCGACACUCAUGUCACAGUCGACAGGCAACAGAACAGGAGUGACACGCCUUUGGUUGUAACGGACCCUGCAAACCACUGAGUCCCCUGUCCCGCGCUAAUAUUUUAUCCAGCAGCAGCAUGGCAACGCCUACUGAUUAGGCAGAUUCCCCUAUGGGGUUCUACUCUGUAAGAAAUACUUGCUUAUUUCAAAAGGAUUAAACUGCCAGUCCAGGUUCAUCAUCGUCUUAUGUCCUGAGACUACUGGUCACCUCAGUAUGUCCUCCCAAAAAAUGACUAAUCUCUCCUCCCCUAAUAAAACCGUCAGUCCCCGCGCAGACAGUUCGUCUGGCAGGUAUUAAACAGUUACAGACUUUAAACUAUUUUAGCUGACUGGACUAUGGCAUUGUGUAAAAAUUUCGAGUACCCGUUUCCCUUAUGUUUCACGAAUCAUCUCUUAUUUGAUGAGCCCGUGGUCAUCCCCGAGGUGGUGCUCCGAACUGUUGUCAGCUGUCUCACCACAAAUAAUUACGGCCAUGCUGGAUGCCAGGGAAGUGUAUGAAAUAAUGGCUUUCAGGUCUUGUUUUGAUAUCUGCCAAAUGACUUUCUUUUUAAUUGAAUGAUAGAAAAUUAUGGAGAGUGGUCUUAACAAUGUAUUCACUAGAGUUCAUGAUAAUUUAGAACAACAUAGAUCACAGAGCACUCUUGGGGAAAGAGGAUAUGAAAAGAACCAAAAAGGAAAAAAAAACUGCUGGGAUUUUCAUAUCCAAAACAUUGAAAAAUGAACGGUUUUGUAGCAUCCUAGAGUGCACCUGUCACAGUGCUGAUGGAAUCUCUAUGUCGGCAACUAUGAAAGAAUGUAUUGAGUUGUUUCUUCAUUUCUUAUUUGCUCAGUAGUUUCUAAAUUGUACUAAUUUUGUAACUUUAUUUUAGAAAAAAAUAUCUUAAAUAUGAAAGGAGAACACUAACAAUAUAAUUUUAGCAAAUGUAAGAAGAUUUUGUUGAAUUUGUAUCAUCUGAAUACACCAUGUUUACCUACUACACGCAUAAUCAUAUUUAAACGAUCAGAUGUGUUCUGAUGCGAUACCUCCAGCUACUUUGAAUAACAAACCCUCCAGGUUAUUAACCGUGAGAUAAUUUCACCUCUGGAACGAAGCCAAGAUAGGCAUUUUUUUAGCUCAAUGAAACAGAUCCUUUCCUCCCACACAGUGAGAUGUGGAGGCUCGCCAGCCUCUCAGCUGGAAGAACCCCACUUCUUCUUUCUUAUUCUUUCGAAAUGGCCUAAAACGCAGAAACCGCGUGACUACAGCUACCCUGUUGUUUCUGUCUGCACCCCCCCGCCCCUUCAGAGCCUCACAGACACUGCAAAGUCGGCAGAACGCUGAGCUUAGAGGUUGCUUCAGUGAACAUUCAACGCUGUCGGUGAGUUUGGAAUUAAAAUCAAAACCAUCGACCGUUGAUUGUACCCUAUGGCCAACCACCACCGCCACCGUGGCUUUCGGACUUUGCUGAAGACAGGAGACCAGAGCGGGGCGCCCGGGAUGCUCUCCUCCCUGGGCGGAGACUACUUUUUAAAAGGUCACAAUCAACAUUCAUUGCUGUCGGUGGGUUAACUGUGUGGACAAGCUCACUGAACAAUGAAUGCAACUGUGGCCCCGCAUUUUGCAAUCACCGUCAAGAGACGUUCCCUCCCUGCAGGAUCUCUUGACGGUGGUAAUGCUGUGGUUUCCUCCGAAGUCUCUGGUCUACAGAGUCUUCACGUCUGUUCACUCAGUGUAUCUCGUAUGUUCAGAUUUCGACGGAAAAGGUACUCAUUUAAACAAGAGCAAUACUUUUCUACACUUCCGUGUGUUAUAAAUAGAGCAUGUUUUAAGAGGUAAACUAUGUCCCUCAUGGAAUCUAUAACAUAACAGGCUAAGUCUGAACAUCUUCCUGCAGGAGUGAAAAAAAGGCAUGGAGGAGUCCAGCGGCCACGCCGUUGGCACCCAGGCCUUAAAACAGCAGCAACACUGCAUCUGCUGUUAGAUUCCCUGGUCAGAGCGGUACAUAAGCACUGGCUACAUUUAUCUUUGUGCCGCUCAGGGUGGGGACUGACUCAAACCAUACCUCCUCUUGCCAUGGAAUUUGCUAAGGAGGGAAGAAAAUAUGUAUAAGUAACUAUGUAACUAUCAGAACACUUACGAGAGUCAUACAGCAGACGGAUUUCCAUAAUUAAAUCCAAAUUGAAGGUAACAGUUUACCCACCUUCUUUGUGUUCUGCCUUCCGAAAGCCUUCCCCACAUCAUCAGACUUAGGGCCACAGCCUGUGAGUUGCCUCACGUCACAUCAUGGCUGGGGUUCCUUAGCUAGUUUGGCUCUACAUCUUUACAUAGUACAAUUGUCUUUGAAUUUGAU